GACGAACCGUGCAAACGUUAUUCGGAAUCACUGGGCUUAAAGGGCGCGUAGGCGGGCCGCCAGGUCCGGGGUGAAAGCCUCCAGCUCAACUGGAGAAGUGCCUUGGAUACCGGCGGCCUCGAGGGAGGCAGGGGCGUGCGGAACUUCGGGUGGAGCGGUGAAAUUCGUAGAUAUCGAGAGGAACACCGGUGGCGAAGGCGGCUAUCUGGACAGUGACUGACGCUGAGACGCGAAAGCGUGGGGAGCAAACAGG
rnacentral:rRNA from 1 species